AACGAACGCUGGCGGCGCGCCUAAUACAUGCAAGUCGAGCGAGAAGGUGUAGCAAUACACUUGUAAAGCGGCGAACGGGUGAGGAAUACAUGGGUAAUCUACCAUCGAGUGGGGAAUAACCAACCGAAAGGUUGGCUAAUACCGCGUACGCCUCCGAGUCUUCGGGUUCGGAGGGAAAGCUGCACUGUGAGUGUAGCGCUCUUUGAUGAGCUCAUGUCCUAUCAGCUUGUUGGUAGGGUAACGGCCUACCAAGGCUUUGACGGGUAGCUGGUCUGAGAGGACGACCAGCCACACUGGGACUGAGACACGGCCCAGACUCCUACGGGAGGCAGCAGUGGGGAAUUUUGGACAAUGGGCGCAAGCCUGAUCCAGCAAUGCCGCGUGCAGGAAGAAGGCCUCGG
rnacentral:rRNA from 1 species